GCCCCCGUAGCGCAAUUGGAUAGAGCGUUUGCUUGCGGAGCAAAAGGUUGAGUAUUCGAAUUACUCCGGGGGCA
rnacentral:tRNA from 2 species